rnacentral:snoRNA from 1 species
AACCCAUGGUGAGGGAACCUUCUCAAAAGGUCUUUGAAUCUCUCUCAUGCAUUGUAGAGUGUUUCUAAAUCCAUCUGCAUAAAAGAAGAGAUAUCACUAUGUAAUU